rnacentral:rRNA from 1 species
AUGUGUGUACCGAAGAAGCAAGGAUGUAUGGGUUUUCAUGACAUUCACAGUUUCAAUUUGGCGAUGCUGGCAAAACAAUGUUGGAGGUUGAUUGAACAAAAUGAAUCAUUGUGUGCCGGAAUGUUGAGAGUUAGAUAUUACCCCAAUGGGGGAUUCUUAACUAUGAAUUAAAAAGAAAGGUCAUCGUAUGUAUGACAGAGUAUAUGGGCAGGGAUCCAAACCUUCAAGAAGUCUUCAUUUGGAGAGUAUGAGAUCGUGCAAAAAUAG